rnacentral:rRNA from 1 species
GACGAACGCUGGCGGCGUGCCUAAUACAUGCAAGUUGAGCGAUGAAGAUUGGUGCUUGCACCAAUUUGAAGAGCAGCGAACGGGUGAGUAACGCGUGGGGAAUCUGCCUUUGAGCGGGGGACAACAUUUGGAAACGAAUGCUAAUACCGCAUAAUAACUUUAAACAUAAGUUUUAAGUUUGAAAGAUGCAAUUGCAUCACUCAAAGAUGAUCCCGCGUUGUAUUAGCUAGUUGGUGAGGUAAAGGCUCACCAAGGCGAUGAUACAUAGCCGACCUGAGAGGGUGAUCGGCCACAUUGGGACUGAGACACGGCCCAAACUCCUACGGGAGGCAGCAGAAGGGAAUCUUCGGCAAUGGACGAAAGUCUGACCGAGCAACGCCGCGUGAGUGAAGAAGGUUUUCGGAUCGUAAAACUCGGUUGGUAGAGAAGAACGUUGGUGAGAGUGGAAAGCUCAUCAAGUGACGGUAACUACCCAGAAAGGGACGGCUAACUACGUG